GCUCGGUUGGUCUAGUGGUAUGAUUCUCGCUUAGGGUCCACCCUGAGAACGUUUGCGAGAGGUCCCCGGUUCAAACCCGGGAUCGAGCC